GGGGAUUUAGCUCAGCGGCAUAAGCACCUGCCUUGCAAGCAGGCGGUUGUGAGUUUAAUCCCUG
rnacentral:tRNA from 1 species